CCUUUUUCGUGUAAAGUGGUGCUUCUUCGAGUGCAUAAUCAACUUCUCUUUUCGUGAAUUUAUCUCCCCAAGUUUGAAGAUCAUGUCGUAUUCUACGUAUAUAUUAAAUCAAAUUGAUAUAUUCCGUAAUAUGGGCGGAUCUUACAGUUUUCUAAAACUUUAAUCGUUUCAACGAAUGCAACAGUGUUGAAGGUAGGUUACUCGUUCAUGAGAAGUAGCUCAAGAUUAAACGUAGAUUCCACGAACAGAAGUUGAAGAGUAAAAAGAUCUGAGUUAUAUCAGAUAAGAAAUGGAGGCCACUUUAAUUAAAAUCUAGUUAAAACGACCCUGGUCCAGCCUGGAGCAUGUUGACGUCUACCAUCGUUGUAUGCGUUAUUUGGCAAAUGCUACAUAGACUUCCGGUUUUCCACCUGUCUUCAAGACAUCAUCCAAUCUAUCAUUCAGUUUCCGCUGACGAUGAGAUCAGAUCCUUCAAGUUCCAUUCCUGCUGCAUCCGCUACGACGUUAAGUUCGUCGUUGGAAAUUGAAGUCACUUUGGUUUAUCCCUGCAUGACUGUCGCGCACGUAUUUAUCAUGGUGCUGGUUAGAAUGCAGAGUGGAUGGAGAAUUUAGUGCGUCAGAUAUCAGGAUCAACACAGCGUGUCAGUCUUAGACCGUACGAUUAGAACAUCAUAGCACUGUGUCAACAAGAGGUAUUUGAAUUCAUUAAUGAGUCAAUGGACAAUUGAAAAUAUAAAAAUUACGAAAUGACAAGAAUGUGAAAAAAAAAUUGUCAAAUUUGUCAAUGACGUUACUUAAUUUCAAUCUCGCUUUUCUCUCUUAUAAUCCAGG